GACGAACGCUGGCGGCGUGCUUAACACAUGCAAGUCGAACGGAAAGGCCCUGCUUUUGUUGGGUGCUCGAGUGGCGAACGGGUGAGUAACACGUGAGUAACCUGCCCUUGACUUUGGGAUAACUUCAGGAAACUGGGGCUAAUACCGGAUAGGAGCUCCUGCUGCAUGGUGGGGGUUGGAAAGUUUCGGCGGUUGUGGAUGGACUCGCGGCUUAUCCGCUUGUUGGUGGGGUAGUGGCUUACCAAGGCUGUGAGGGGUAGCCGGCCUGAGAGGGUGACCGGCCACAUUGGGACUGAGAUACGGACCAGACGGCUACGGGAGGCAGCAGUGGGGAAUAUGGCAGAAUGGGGGGAAGUCUGAUGCAGAAACGCCGCGUGCGGGAUGCCGUCCUUCGGGUUGUAAACCGCUGUCGCCUGUGACGAAGCGUGAGUGACGGUAAUGGGUAAAGAAGCACCGGCUAACUACGUG
rnacentral:rRNA from 1 species